UGCUUAGGGCAAACCUGCCUCCCCUUCUAUUCAAAGUCACCCCUCUGCUCACUGAGAUAGGUUAAUAUGUGAUAGCCUCCUUUGCGGAGGCUAUUCAGAAACCCAAAAGAAUACAACAGUUUGUCUCUCACCUACCGGUGACCUGGAAGCCCCCUCCUCACAAGCCCAUGCAUGGGGACGUCCCCUGGGGUAGCGCCCCUCCUCCACUGAGCUCACUCGCUUCCUCCUUGUGUGUUUUCUUCAGAAGAAAUU
rnacentral:lncRNA from 1 species